rnacentral:lncRNA from 1 species
AUUGUUUUGCCCAUUUUGAAAAUGAGGAAACUGAGGCUGAGAGCUGUGAAGUGACUUAAUUCCGAAGUGGCUGAGUUGGCGGUCAAUCCCUAAGCCUGGCUCCAAAAUUCUUCCUAUCACAUCCUGAUACCUGACAUCCAGCUACCACUCCAGAUAGACAAGAGAGCUAAAGAACAAAAAAUUGUGCACAAGAAAACCUAUGUUAAAUUCAGCCUGUCCUGGAAAAUCCAGAGUCUGUGGAAAUAAAUUCUACCCAUAAAGUCAAGGCGAAGUUUUCCUUAAAGGGAAACCCUCCAUGAAUAUCACUUCAAGAAAAGAAAGACACAGUACAUAUCUCGACUCUACCUCCAGCUCAGGAGCUGCAGCCGGGAGCUGGUAAGUGGGAGGUGAAGAAAGACCCGAGAACGAAGAGGAGGGGUGAGUGGAGAGAGGAAGAGGAGAAGGAAGUCCCUCGUCAAAGCCAGAAGAAUUGGAAGCACGGACAUGAAGAGAGAUUUGUACACCCGUGUUCACGGCAGCAUUAUUCACAAAAGCCAAAAGGUGGCAGCCACCCAAGAGUUCAUCAACAGAUGAAUGGAUAAACAAAAUGUGGAGUCCCAGCAUCUCAAGCUUGAAUAGACUGAAGUGGCAAAG